rnacentral:tRNA from 1 species
UUAUUAGUUUAUAUAAAGAUAUUAUAAAAAAAUAUAUUUAUAUAAUUUAUAGAUAAAUUAAUAAUUUUUUAA